AUUGAACGCUGGCGGCAGGCCUAACACAUGCAAGUCGAGCGAGCGGCGGACGGGUGAGUAAUGUAUGGGGACUGCCUGAUAGAGGGGGAUAACUACUGGAAACGGUGGCUAAUACCGCAUACUACAGGAUAACCCAUAUGGGAUUAGCUAGUAGGUGGGGUAAAGGCUCACCUAGGCGACGAUCUCUCGCUGGUCUGAGAGGAUGAUCAGCCACGCUGGGACGGAGACACGGCCCAGACGCCAACGGAGGCAGCAGGGGGGAAUAAUGCACAAUGGACGCAAGCCUGAUGCAGCAAUGGCGCGUGUAUGAAGAAGGCCUUAGGGUUGGAAAGUACUUGCAGCGGGAAUGCGUUACCCGCAGAAGAAGCACCGGCUAACUCCGUGCCAGCAGCCGCGGUAAUUC
rnacentral:rRNA from 1 species